rnacentral:misc_RNA from 1 species
GAAAUGCGAUAAGUGGUGUGAAUUGCAGAAUUCAGUGAAUCAUCGAAACUUUGAACGCACGUUGCGCCCGCCAGCACUCUGGCGGGCAUGCCUGUUCGAGCGUCAUUGCAACCAUCAAGCCCGCGGGCUUGCGUUGGGGACCUGCGGCUGCCCGCAGGUCCUGAAAACCAGUGGCGGGCUCGCUGUCAGCCCGGUCGUAGUAGCAUCAUCUCGUCCAGGGCGUGGCUGCGGGCUCCGGCCGUUAAACCUUCUCAAACCCAAAGGUUGACCUCGGAUCAGGUAGGAAUACCCGCUAAACUUAA